rnacentral:rRNA from 1 species
UACGUAGGGCGCAAGCGUUGUCCGGAUUCACUGGGUGUAAAGGGUGCGCAGGCGGACUGGCAAGUCAGGGGUGAAAUCUCACAGCUCAACUGUGAAACUGCCUUUGAUACUGCUGGUCUUGAGUCAGGGAGAGGUUGAUGGAAUUCCAGGUGUAGCGGUGAAAUGCGUAGAUAUCUGGAGGAACACCGGUGGCGAAGGCGGCAUCCUGGACCGGCAUUGACGCUGAGGCGCGAAAGCCAGGGGAGCAAACGGG